AACGUAGGUACCGAGCGUUAUCCGGAUUUACUGGGCGUAAAGCGCGUUCAGGCGGUUUGGCAAGUCGGGCAUGAAAUCCUUCGGCUCAACCGGGGGAGGUUGUCCGAUACUGUCAGACUGGAGGGCAGUAGAGGGUGGUGGAAUUCCGGGUGUAGUGGUGAAAUGCGUAGAGAUCCGGAGGAACACCAGUGGCGAAAGCGGCCACCUGGACUGCACCUGACGCUGAAACGCGAAAGCUAGGGGAGCGAACGGG
rnacentral:rRNA from 1 species